rnacentral:rRNA from 1 species
GAGGAAAGGACAUCAACCGAGACUCCGUUAGUAGUGGCGAGCGAACGCGGACCAGGCCAGUGGCAAUAGUAAGAAAAGCGGAAGCGUCUGGAAAGUCGUGCCGUAGUGGGUGAUAGCCCCGUACGCGUUAAUCGAUCUAUUGUCCUCGAGUAGGGCGGAACACGUGAAAUUCUGUCUGAACAUGGGGGGACCACCCUCCAAGCCUAAGUACUCGUGCAUCACCGAUAGCGAACCAGUACCGUGAGGGAAAGGUGAAAAGCACCCCGACAAGGGGAGUGAAAUAGUACCUGAAACUGGAUGCCUACAAACAGUGGGAGGCCGCAAGGCUGACCGCGUACCUUUUGUAUAAUGGGUCAACGACUUAGUGUAGCAAGCAAGCUUAAGCCGAUAGGUGUAGGCGUAGCGAAAGCGAGUCUUAAUAGGGCGUAUAGUUGCUAGGAUUAGACCCGAAACCGAGUGAUCUAUCCAUGAGCAGGUUGAAGAUUAGGUAACACUGAUUGGAGGACCGAACCCACUGUCGUUGAAAAGCCAGGGGAUGACUUGUGGAUAGGAGUGAAAGGCUAAUCAAACUCGGAG